UCCUACGGGACGCAGCAGUAGGGAAUCUUCCACAAUGGACGAAAGUCUGAUGGAGCAACGCCGCGUGAGUGAAGAAGGGUUUCUGCUCGUAAAGCUCUGUUGGUAGUGAAGAAAGAUAGAGGUAGUAACUGGCCUUUAUUUGACGGUAAUUACUUAGAAAGUCACGGCUAACUACGUGCCAGCAGCCGCGGUAAUACGGAGGUGGCAAGCGUUGUCCGGAUUUAUUGGGCGUAAAGCGAGUGCAGGCGGUUCUAUAAAGCUGUUGU
rnacentral:rRNA from 1 species